rnacentral:rRNA from 1 species
GCCGCGUGUGUGAAGAAGGCCCUCGGGUUGUAAAGCACUUUCAGCGAGGAAGAACGCCUAGCGGUUAAUACCCGCUAGGAAAGACAUCACUCGCAGAAGAAGCACCGGCUAACUCCGUGCCAGCAGCCGCGGUAAUACGGAGGGUGCAAGCGUUAAUCGGAAUUACUGGGCGUAAAGCGCGCGUAGGUGGCUUGAUAAGCCGGUUGUGAAAGCCCCGGGCUCAACCUGGGAACGGCAUCCGGAACUGUCAAGCUAGAGUGCAGGAGAGGAAGGUAGAAUUCCCGGUGUAGCGGUGAAAUGCGUAGAGAUCGGGAGGAAUACCAGUGGCGAAGGCGGCCUUCUGGACUGACACUGACACUGAGGUGCGAAAGCGUGGGUAGCAAACAGGAUUAGAUACCCUGGUAGUCCACGCCGUAAACGAUGUCGACCAGCCGUUGGGUGCCUAGCGCACUUUGUGGCGAAGUUAACGCGAUAAGUCGACCGCCUGGGGAGUACGGCCGCAAGGUUAAAACUCAAAUGAAUUGACGGGGGCCCGCACAAGCGGUGGAGCAUGUGGUUUAAUUCGAUGCAACGCGAAGAACCUUACCUACUCUUGACAUCCUGCGAAUUUGGUAGAGAUACCUUAGUGCCUUCGGGAACGCAGAGACAGGUGCUGCAUGGCUGUCGUCAGCUCGUGUUGUGAAAUGUUGGGUUAAGUCCCGUAACGAGCGCAACCCUUGUCCUUAUUUGCCAGCGCGUAAUGGCGGGAACUCUAAGGAGACUGCCGGUGACAAACCGGAGGAAGGUGGGG